UGCCAGACUCCUACGGGAGGCAGCAGUAAGGGAUAUUGGUCAAUGGGGGAAACCCUGAACCAGCAACGCCGCGUGAGGGAAGACGGUUUUCGGAUUGUAAACCUCUGUCCUCUGUGAAGAUGAUGACGGUAGCAGAGGAGGAAGCUCCGGCUAACUACGUGCCAGCAGCCGCGGUAAUACGUAGGGAGCGAGCGUUGUCCGGAUUUACUGGGUGUAAAGGGUGCGUAGGCGGGCGAGAAAGUUGAAUGUUAAAUCUACCGGCUUAACUGGUAGCUGCGUUCAAAACUUCUUGUCUUGAGUGAAGUAGAGGCAGGCGGAAUUCCUAGUGUAGCGGUGAAAUGCGUAGAUAUUAGGAGGAACACCAGUGGCGAAGGCGGCCUGCUGGGCUUUAACUGACGCUGAGGCUCGAAAGCGUGGGGAGCAAACAGGAUUAGAUACCCCUGUAGCA
rnacentral:rRNA from 1 species